rnacentral:rRNA from 1 species
GGUUUCCGUAGGUGAACCUGCGGAAGGAUCAUUAAAGAGUAAGGGUGCUCAGCGCCCGACCUCCAACCCUUUGUUGUUAAAACUACCUUGUUGCUUUGGCGGGACCGCUCGGUUCCGAGCCGCUGGGGAUUCGUCCCAGGCGAGCGCCCGCCAGAGUUAAACCAAACUCUUGUUAUUUAAACCGGUCGUCUGAGUUAAAAUUUUGAAUAAAUCAAAACUUUCAACAACGGAUCUCUUGGUUCUCGCAUCGAUGAAGAACGCAGCGAAAUGCGAUAAGUAAUGUGAAUUGCAGAAUUCAGUGAAUCAUCGAAUCUUUGAACGCACAUUGCGCCCCUUGGUAUUCCGAGGGGCAUGCCUGUUCGAGCGUCAUUACACCACUCAAGCUAUGCUUGGUAUUGGGUGCCGUCCUUAGUUGGGCGCGCCUUAAAGACCUCGGCGAGGCCACUCCGGCUUUAGGCGUAGUAGAAUUUAUUCGAACGUCUGUCAAAGGAGAGGAACUCUGCCGAUUGAAACCUUUUAUUUUUCUAGGUUGACCUCGGAUCAGGUAGGGAUACCCGCUGAACUUAAGCAUAUCAAUAA